AGUUCGGUCCCUAUCCGAUGCAGCCGUAAGUGAAUUGAGAAAGGUUGUCCCUAGUACGAGAGGACCGGGACGAACGCAGCUCUCGUGUGACAGUUGUCCUGCCAAGGGCAUGGCUGUUUUGCGACCUGCGGGUGGGAUAAGCGCUGAAAGCAUCUAAGUGCGAAGCCCGUUUCAAGAUAAAUUCACUCACUGGGUUAACCAGGUAAGGCCCGUGGCGAGAUCACCACGUUGAUAGGCCGGAAGUGUAAGUGCGGUAACGCAUUCAGCUGACCGGUACUAAUCGGCCGAGGGCUUGGAGUU
rnacentral:rRNA from 1 species